UACUUUGCAGUUAUGUAAAUAAGAAACAGAAACAAAUCAUUUCCCACGCUCUUUCCUGUGUUACGGUUCAAAUCUGUACCUAGGAUAAAAAUAAGUUUUCCUGUUCAGGAACUUGUUUAAGUCUCAGAAUAAUGUGAUUUAAAGGCGAACAUUUUACAGAACUAAAUUUUUGAAUGAAAACAAAUUGAAGGAUUUUGUGGUCUGCUUGGUGUUGCUUUUGGUAACCAUAUGAAAUAAUUAG